UACGUAGGGUCCGAGCGUUGUCCGGAAUUAUUGGGCGUAAAGAGCUCAUAGGCGGUAUGUCGCGUCUGCUGUGAAAGACCGGGGCUUAACUUCGGUUUUGCAGUGGAUACGGGCAUGCUUGAGGUAGGUAGGGGAGACUGGAAUUCCUGGUGUAGCGGUGAAAUGCGCAGAUAUCAGGAGGAACACCGGUGGCGAAGGCGGGUCUCUGGGCCUUACCUGACGCUGAGGAGCGAAAGCAUGGGUAGCCAACAGGAUUAGAUACCCCCGUACGU
rnacentral:rRNA from 1 species